AUUGAACGCUGGCGGCAGGCCUAACACAUGCAAGUCGAGCGGAUGAAGGGAGCUUGCUCCUGGAUUCAGCGGCGGACGGGUGAGUAAUGCCUAGGAAUCUGCCUGGUAGUGGGGGAUAACGUCCGGAAACGGGCGCUAAUACCGCAUACGUCCUGAGGGAGAAAGUGGGGGAUCUUCGGACCUCACGCUAUCAGAUGAGCCUAGGUCGGAUUAGCUAGUUGGUGGGGUAAAGGCCUACCAAGGCGACGAUCCGUAACUGGUCUGAGAGGAUGAUCAGUCAAACUGGAAGGGAGAAUCAGACAUGACUGUGAGGGGAGGCAGGGGUGGGGAAGAUCGGAGGAGGGGCGGAAGCGUGAGCCGUCGAGGCGGGGGGUGUGAAGAAGGUGUUGGGAUGAUAAAGCACUGGAGGUUGGGAGGGAGGGCAGUAAUUUCUUACCUUGUUGUUUGGACGUUACCAAAAGACGAAGCACCGACUAACUUCGGGCCAGCAGCAGGGGUAAUAAGGGGAAGGGCACCCGUCCGAAC
rnacentral:rRNA from 1 species